rnacentral:rRNA from 1 species
CGAACGCUGGCGGCGUGCUUACCACAUGCAAGUCGAACGGAAAGGCCCUGCUUUUGUGGGGUGCUCGAGUGGCGAACGGGUGAGUAACACGUGAGUAGCCUGCCCUUGACUUUGGGAUAACUUCAGGAAACUGGGGCUAAUACCGGAUAGGAGCUCCUGCUGCAUGGUGGGGGUUGGAAAGUUUCGGCGGUUGGGGAUGGACUCGCGGCUUAUCAGCUUGUUGGUGGGGUAGUGGCUUACCAAGGCUUUGACGGGUAGCCGGCCUGAGAGGGUGACCGGCCACAUUGGGACUGAGAUACGGCCCAGACUCCUACGGGAGGCAGCAGUGGGGAAUAUUGCACAAUGGGCGGAAGCCUGAUGCAGCAACGCCGCGUGCGGGAUGACGGCCUUCGGGUUGUAAACCGCUUUCGCCUGUGACGAAGCGUGAGUGACGGUAAUGGGUAAAGAAGCACCGGCUAACUACGUG